rnacentral:rRNA from 1 species
AAGGCAGCAGUGGGGAAUAUUGCACAAUGGGCGCAAGCCUGAUGCAGCCAUGCCGCGUGUAUGAAGAAGGCCUUCGGGUUGUAAAGUACUUUCAGUCGUGAGGAAGGUGUUAAGGUUAAUAACCUUAGCAAUUGACGUUAGCGACAGAAGAAGCACCGGCUAACUCCGUGCCAGCAGCCGCGGUAAUACGGAGGGUGCGAGCGUUAAUCGGAAUUACUGGGCGUAAAGGGCACGCAGGCGGUUAAUUAAGUUGGAUGUGAAAUCCCCGGGCUUAACCUGGGAAUGGCAUUCAAGACUGGUUAGCUAGAGUCUUGUAGAGGGGGUAGAAUUCCAUGUGUAGCGGUGAAAUGCGUAGAGAUGUGGAGGAAUACCGGUGGCGAAGGCGGCCCCUGGGACAAAGACUGACGCUCAUGUGCGAAAGCGUGGGGAGCAAACGAGGAUUAGAUACC